CGGCAUGCAUAGCGAGGCCGAGCAGAGUGGCGCGGUACACUUCCCAGCAUGCUCUGCGCGGCCGCUCUGCCGGCGGAAGGCUUCGGACUCAGUGCCCAGCAUGCCCUGCGCCAGGCCCGCCCUCCCGAGGUGGGCUGGGGGAUAAGGCUCACGGUGCGGUGGGUGGGUCCGCAUCCGCAGCCCUGCGGAGGGCCAUUCAGGGACCCGCCACUCCUGCAGGGCGCAGGAUGGGUGGCCCAAGGCCUGCGUUCAGGUCAAAGGGGACCGGCUGACUGCUCCGCAGGACGCCCUGGCCCCUGACAGUUUAAAGAGACAGAACACGUAUUUUGAAUGGGGCUUCCUCAGUUCAGUCGCAAAAGGAAAUUCUCAUAGAACGUGUCUGUGUGACAUGGAUGGUGGGACAGCUAGCCAGCUACUAUUUCAAACUGGACGCACAUACAGCUGUGAUUCUGUUCAGGAACUCUGUGGGCUUUUGUGUGCAUCCUCUUCUCUGGGAGAGGGCACCUUGUGGAUGGUGACACUGCUACAGAGAGUGUGGUCAAGGUAGUGAGUGGGUCGUAGAGGCUGUGGUUCCAUCUGCUCCCAGGCCAGACUGGACAAGCUGGACCACCUAGUGCCCUUGUCUGGCUGGCGCUGCUGAAGGUUUCCCUCCCCACCACUCACCAGCUCCAUUUGUCCAACUCUGUCUCUGUUAGGUCCCUCUGAGCCCAGCAGAAGAAUCCGGAGGCCACCCUGUGCAGAGCCUGACCUAGUUAGCCGGCCUGUUCAGGACCCACUGUACCCAGACAGAUGGGUGCCUCUUCUGGACAGACUGAAGGCUGCCCAGCACGAUUUACCUGGAGCGCAGCCAUCACAUCUUGCUCAGGACCCCAGCAAGAGCAAGGCACAGCUCAGUGUGCAUGUCCAGAAGGCCAAGAACAGCAAAGCUGAGAAGUCAAAAGCCUCUUGAGAGCUCCGCGUUAAUCAUCACUGCAGCAAGAGGCAGGGAGUAGGCGACUUGCGGUUGUGCUCCGGACCAGGCACCGGCUGUGGCGUCCAGCCAGACGGACAGCAACGUCCUGGCGGUCUCUGUGCUUUGUGCUCUUCUGUUGCUGUCCAGAAUUCCCCCAAAUUGCUGAACAAGAAGCCAUAUAUUGUAUUUUGUCCUGGGCCCCACGAAUAGUGUGGCUCAUCUUGAUGGGCUCCCUACCCCCACCCCCUAGAACUCAGGAAGGUGGGAAGAUUGGAUGAAAAGUUUCCCAAAGAUGUUUUAGCUGUGAGAUCCUUGCCCAAAGAAACUGUAUGUAGAACUUGGGACAUGACCUGUAGGACAGAUUAAUUUCUAAAUCUCUUUUCCUGUGA